rnacentral:misc_RNA from 1 species
GUGAAUCAUCGAAUUUUUGAACGCAAAUUGCACUUUCUGGUAUUCCGGAAAGUAUGCCUGUUUGAGGGUCAGUUAAAUUAAAAUAGGUGUUGUUGUUGCUUUUCGUGGUGACGCGUCGGAAUUGCGUUGUCUUAAUUUUGGUUAAGUGACUUUAAAUUUUGCAUGAUUUUCGCAUGUAUUUAAAUUUCUUAAGUAUGUUUGUGGUACUGAACACUUUACUA